UACGUAGGCAGCAAGCGUUGUUCGGAAUUACUGGGCGUAAAGAGUGUGUAGGCGGUGUUCUAAGUUUGUCGUGAAAUCUCCCGGCUUAACUGGGAGGGUGCGGCGAAAACUGGAAUGCUAGAGGAUGGGAGAGGUAAGCGGAAUUCCUGGUGUAGCGGUGAAAUGCGUAGAUAUCAGGAGGAACACCGAUGGCGAAGGCAAUCCCCUGGACCUGUACUGACGCUCAUGCACGAAAGCGUGGGGAGCAAACAGG
rnacentral:rRNA from 1 species